rnacentral:rRNA from 1 species
GACGAACGCUGGCGGCGUGCUUAACACAUGCAAGUCGAACGGAAAGGCCCUGCUUUUGUGGGGUGCUCGAGUGGCGAACGGGUGAGUAACACGUGAGUAACCUGCCCUUGACUUUGGGAUAACUUCAGGAAACUGGGGCUAAUACCGGAUAGGAGCUCCUGCUGCAUGGUGGGGGUGGGAAAGUUUCGGCGGUUGGGGAUGGACUCGCGGCUUAUCAGCUUGUUGGUGGGGUAGUGGCUUACCAAGGCUUUGACGGGUAGCCGGCCUGAGAGGGUGACCGGCCACAUUGGGACUGAGAUACGGCCCAGACUCCUACGGGAGGCAGCAGUGGGGAAUAUUGCACAAUGGGCGGAAGCCUGAUGCAGCAACGCCGCGUGCGGGAUGACGGCCUUCGGGUUGUAAACCGCUUUCGCCUGUGACGAAGUGUGAGUGACGGUAAUGGGUAAAGAAGCACCGGCUAACUACGUG